GAGAUGGCUCAGUUGGUUAGAGAGUGGUGCUGAUAACACCAAGGUUACAGGUACGAUCCCUGUGUAGAACA